rnacentral:rRNA from 1 species
AUUGAACGCUGGCGGCAGGCCUAACACAUGCAAGUCGAACGAGUGGCGGACGGGUGAGUAAUGUCUGGGAAACUGCCUGAUGGAGGGGGAUAACUACUGGAAACGGUAGCUAAUACCGCAUACCAUCAGAUGUGCCCAGAUGGGAUUAGCUAGUAGGUGGGGUAACGGCUCACCUAGGCGCCGAUCCCUAGCUGGUCUGAGAGGAUGAACAGCCACACUGGAACUGAGACACGGUCCAGACUCCUACGGGAGGCAGCAGUGGGGAAUAUUGCACAAUGGGCGAAAGCCUGAUGCAGCAAUGCCGCGUGUGUGAGGAGGGCCUUCGGGUUGUAAAGCACUGUCAGCGGGGAGGCGGUACCCGCAGAAGAAGCACCGGCUAACUCCGUGCCAGCAGCCGCGGUAAUAC